UUAAUUUUUACAUUAUUGUCGUACACUAAUAUUUGUACACCAGUUUUAAUAAUAUCACGUACGCUGUCGGCUGGGAUUAAAUAAAAAA
rnacentral:sRNA from 1 species